GUUUUCUUUCUUCAGGCUUGAACUUGUCACAGCCGAUGGUACACAUGAGUGACGAGGAGAUGAAAUUGUGAAUUCCUUUUAGAUCAUCGUCACCCUACAUAGAGGUAGGUUCGAUUUUGAUGGAGAUUAGACAAUGGAAGAUGAAGAAAGCAAGGAGAAGGAGAAGAGUUGAUGAUGGAAAGUACGAAAUUUCCGUCAUCAACGAUAGUGUUUGGUCACAAUCAGAGAAGAUGGUGGAACGAAAAGGACCAAUUUUCCCUUGUGAGUGGUUAGGUGAGGCAGCUCAGAUGACAGGAUAGAUCAUCCCGAUUUUGGAAGAAGGUUGCUUGAGAAGGACUGUUGUCAGAUGUGGAGCAGUAGUAGCAGAGAAGAUGAUGCACUAUUUGGUCAUUGAUUUCAUCUUGUAUGACAUCAGGGUCUGAAAAUUGAAGCUUCCAUCAACAAGAACUUCAUUUCCAAAUUCACAAGUCAAUUGGCUGAGGGGAAUGUUUACAAGAUCACAUAUUUUUCUGUUGGUGAGAAUGGUGGUGCAUUUCGGGCCACCGAGCAUGAGUUCAAGAUAUUUUUUAAUGGAAGGACACAUGUAGUUACUGACUCUUCUGAGAUCAUCCCAUAUGUUGGAUUAACAUUGAAGAACUCAUUUGACAUUGCAGCUACCAUGGGGAAAGUGAUUAUCUUAUAGACAUUAUUGGGUUGGUAACAACAAUGUCAGCUGAGAAG